rnacentral:rRNA from 1 species
GACGGACGCUGGCGGCGUGCUUAACACAUGCAAGUCGUACGGUAAGGCCCUUUCGGGGGUACACGAGUGGCGAACGGGUGAGUAACACGUGAGUAACCUGCCCACAACUUUGGGAUAACGCUAGGAAACUGGUGCUAAUACUGGAUAUGUGCCCCUGCUGCAUGGUGGGGGUUGGAAAGCUCCGGCGGUUGUGGAUGGACUCGCGGCCUAUCAGCUUGUUGGUGGGGUAGUGGCCUACCAAGGCGGCGACGGGUAGCCGGCCUGAGAGGGUGACCGGCCACAUUGGGACUGAGAUACGGCCCAGACUCCGACGGGAGGCAGAAGUGGGGAAUAUUGCACAAUGGGCGCAAGACUGAUGCAGCAACGCCGCGUGCGGGAGGACGGCCUUCGGGUUGUAAACCGCGUUCAGCAGGGACGAAGCUUUUUGUGACGGUACCUGCAGAAGAAGCACCGGCUAACUACGUG